CGUAUGGACGUGCGGGGCAAUCACGAUGCCAUGAAGCCCUGACACCUCAUCGAGUAUCUCAUUGAUGACUACCUCUCUGCCAACCGUAGCGCGCCCCGCAGCGUCAUCCGUCUCGCCUCGCCCUGAGAUGCCAAGCCUGGUCAGCAUCUCUUGAAUCUCGUCGACAUCCUGAUCCUCGUCGAAGAGAGCGAUUAGAUGGGGGCCUUCGUAGGUAUUUAUCUCAACUCCCGGAAGAAUACGAAUGCGACUGAGUCCUUGUUUGCGAGCUUGCUUGGCAAUCUGGAUGAGGGGGGCACACCACGAGACAGUAUUGUGG
rnacentral:rRNA from 1 species